rnacentral:tRNA from 1 species
GGCUCUGUGGUGUAUUACAUAUUGGAUUGCAAAUCCAAAGACGCAGACUGACACCUGCCGGGGCUU